GUCGAGCGAGCGGAACCAACAGAUUUACUUCGGUAAUGACGUUCGUUAAGCGAGCGGCGGAUGGGUGAGUAACACGUGGGGAACCUGCCCCUAAGUCUGGGAUACCAUUUGGAAACAGGUGCUAAUACCGGAUAAUAAAGCGGAUCGCAUGAUCAGCUUUUGAAAGGCGGCGUAAGCUGUCGCUAAGGGAUGGCCCCGCGGUGCAUUAGCUAGUUGGUAAGGUAACGGCUUACCAAGGCGACGAUGCAUAGCCGAGUUGAGAGACUGAUCGGCCACAUUGGGACUGAGGCACGGCCCAAACUCCUAUGGGAGGCAGCAGUAGGGAAUCUUCCACAAUGGACGCAAGUUUGAUGGAGCAACGCCGCGUGAGUGAAGAAGGUUUUCGGAUCGUAAAGCUCUGUUGUUGGUGAAGAAGGAUAGAGGUAGUAACUGGCCUUUAUUUGACGGUAAUCAACCACAAAGUCACGGCUAACUACGUGCCAGCAGCCGCGGUAAUACGUAGGUGGCAAGCGUUGUCCGGAUUUAUUGGGCGUAAAGCGAGCGCAGGCGGAAAAAUAAGUCUAAUGUGAAAGCCCUCGGCUUAACCGAGGAACUGCAUCGGAAACUGUUUUUCUUGAGUGCAGAAGAGGAGAGUGGAACUCCAUGUGUAGCGGUGGAAUGCGUAGAUAUAUGGAAGAACACCAGUGGCGAAGGCGGCUCUCUGGUCUGCAACUGACGCUGAGGCUCGAAAGCAUGGGUAGCGAACAGGAUUAGAUACCCUGGUAGUCCAUGCCGUAUACGAUGAGUGCUAAGUGUUGGGAGGUUUCCGCCUCUCAGUGCUGC
rnacentral:rRNA from 1 species